AUGAAAAAUGCAUCCUACUCUAUAAUCUCCUGGAAUGUACGCGGACUAGGUGACAAUGACAAGUGUGCCAACGUGUUCUCUGAAAUCAAUCUCCUGCGCCCAUCUGUAGCCCUUCUUCAAGAAACCAAACUACAAAAACCAGAUACAAUCAAGAUUCGUUCGAUUUUGCCACGGUUCCUUGACUCUAAUAAUCACCUUGGCGCAAUUGGAUCUGCGGGUGGCAUUCUUUCGGCAACCAACUCUCGAUGCUUCUCGCUCCUCAACUGUCAACAUAGGCGUUUCACAUCCACCUUAACUCUAGCAUGUCUUGCAUCACCCCACAAAAUCUUUAUCACAAACGUGUACGCUCCCUCUCAGCAAGACCUAAAGAUGGCAUUCCUAGACGAGCUAAAACUAAUCGAACCACCACCACAAUCACCCUGGCUCCUAAUUGGAGACUUCAACCUCACCAGAUUCCCCAACGAACGCAACAACAACAACUUCCGGCGAUCAGAGGCUGACGCUUUCAACGACACCAUUGAUCAACUUGCUCUCUUAGAGCUCCCUCUCCUUGAUAGAGAGUUCACCUGGUCAAAUAAAAGGUUGUCUCCCACGCUAAUCCAUCUAGAUAGGGUUCUUAUCAACCUCGCUUGGGACGCUACUUUCCCAAACUCUCACCUCACCUCUCUUACUAGGUUUAUUUCUGAUCAC
rnacentral:rRNA from 1 species